GACUCAUUCCAGCAGGUCCAUGUCCUCCUUGUGUUGGGGUCCCCAGGGCUGGAUGCAGUACUGCAAGUGAGGUCUCAAUUAAACUGUGAAAUACAAAAAGGAUUCUGACAGUUUAAAACUGUGUGCUUUAAACUCGUUUUACUUGCUAAUUAUAGAUAAAACUUCUAUGUUACAGGUUAAAAAGGGAGAAGAGAUACUGAGGGUUUUGCAGUCACUGUAUCUUUUCUUAUGGUUUGAGGCUAAUUUUGAAAAAAAAAAAAAGAAGAAAGGAAAAUGAGCAUAUUAUUUUACAAUGAAAAAGCAUUAACGAGGGACCUGGAAGCAGAUUAAUGCAUGCAGCUGCUUGUAACUUUCUGUUUUAAUUGCCUAGAUUCUUGUUUUUCCAAAAGGUUUGCCCUUUUUGUAGUCCUGACUUUCCAGUUUGCGCUUCUAAUUGAUUUGCUCAAGUGAACAGGCUGGUGACCUGGUUCUUUGGGGUGAAAAAACAGGUGUCAUGUCAACCUGCAACAGCCCAAGCCUGGAAAUAAGAACAAGUGAAUAUCCUGUAGGUUUUCGGAGCCCUUGAAGAAAGUCAGUUCUGAAAGGACUAUGGCAAACAUAGAAACAAGCACCCUUUUUAAUCUUUACCAUUUUCAUUUUACCACUUUUCACCCAUACAACAUUCUUACAAUGAUUAGUACAUUUUUCUUACUAAUAGAUCAAAAUCUUUCAGAUGACCUUUGUGCAUUUCCCACAGGAGAGAUAAUUUGGUCACAGUACGGAAAAGAAGAGCAAAUACUCAGUUCUUAGUAGUGUUUGUGAUAACUAGGGUCUUCUUAUUUCACCACAUGGUUCUCCUUCAGAAAAUCAAGUCUGUGAGUAAAGUCAGGAAAAGUAGAGUUGUGCAAUCCAUAGAGCAGAAAAGCUUAUAGGAAAGGGCCAGUGUAAAGGAUUUAGUAAAAUCUAAGCCAGUUGUCCCAACCCCUACCUCUGUUGCACUCCACCUUGGCUGUCAGCAGUCAGAGAUUGAACGUGAAUCUGAUCUACAUCAGUCCCAGGAGGAGAGUACUGUCAGAGGGACCUCCAUUUCCUAGUAUAGACACAACAGCUGUAUGAUUCACACCGCUGUUUAAAAAGGAGGCUAGUGCUUCAACAUACUGUCCUUCUACUUUUUAAUACACAAAUAGGGGAACAAAAAUAAGAAUUAUGCUUAAAUCCCUUUCUUGUCUCUUUCCUGAAAAAGGUCAAAGGCAAGGAAAAUAGAUGUACUAAGUAGUCAUCACUGAGCUGGUUUUUAAUAUAGCACAAAAUAAGAGCUUUAUAAUGUUUCUUGCUCUUUAAAAACUGCUGUGUACAGGGAGACAUUAGAAAGCUUCAGUCCAGCCUGAGAACUUCCACAGGAAUAGCUUCAAAUAGAAGUACCUCUUUCCUUGAUAGCCUAACUCUAACAGCUUUUUUCAGUAGUGUUUUCUUAUCGCCUGUGCCCCAGAGGUUGCUUUUUCAGGACAAACAUUUAAUUUCUUGCAGCCGAAUUCUAGGUUUAAUAUUAACUUUCCUCUCUUUGUGUGUAUAUAUAGAGAUUAGUUUAUACAUAUAUUUAUGUAUAUACACACAUAAAGAUACAUACAAAAGUAUCUUUUAAUACUCAUAAGCAAGAUCCUUUUUACUCAUGUUAAUUCCUCAGGUCUGAUCUCUGGAAACUGAGUGAAGAUUAGAGAACCUGCAUCAGAAUGGAGGCUGCUUAGCAUCAGCAUAUUUUAUGAAAUUCAAGGUGAUAAAGCAAACAACCAGUGCUUUGUUCAGGGUUGAUCAUGUUAUCAUCUGCUGCACAGUUGCAACUGUAAUUAUUCCACUAGCAGCUGUAAUGGUAUCACUCUCAGGAUGACCACUAUUCACAAUGCAAGGAUUUUAUUAUAUUAACUGUGUUACUUUCUUCCAUGUAGUAUAGUUUGGGGGUUGGUUUACAUUCUCCCAACUCGUCGGUUGUUUUUGCAGUCAGUCAACAGUUUUGAGGAGACAUUGCACAUAAAGCUGCUUCUGUGUCUCUUGCCCUUCUGCUGAUAAAUCAUUAUAUGUCCGUCUUUAUUGUAUUAUAUAGAAAGCUGAGGGUGUUUUUUUCAUAUGUGGUUGCAGAGGCUCUGAGCCCGAUAGCUGUUCUGCAGAAUCAUUAGCACAUCUGCUGCAAUCUGUAUGAGGUGAAGGCAUAUAGCAGCUUAGUGAAUUAUUUAUGAUUUUCUUGACAGAAAUGGCCAGGGGUUUUUUCCUCUCUUAGUGAUAUUAGUUCGAUACGGUUAACUUAAACCAGUUGUCUGCAGCUACCAAGUAAAAAUCAUUAAUGGAUUUUUUCUGUUAGAUUGUUUUGUUUUAUAAAUCAGAUAGUUAUUAACUGUGAAUGCAAUUAUCUGCAUAUGCACAGCAUCUGCAUUGACAUACCAGAAAGAUUACCAAAUUUUACUUAUUUGGAUUAUUCAUUUUUACACACAUUUAAAAUAAUCUCUGGUAUUCUUAGAAAGGAUAUCUCAUACUAAGGUCCAGUGAGAUUCUUUUUUUAAAAAAAGGUAGCAUUCUUUUUUGCACUUAUGUUCUGCUUUCUCCAAUUUGAGAGCCCUGUAGUCAUCCACAAAGCUAAAGCAAACCACCACUCACGGACUUCUAGAAAAGACCAGGAAGUUUUAGUUCCAUGCAGUCUUACAGGUACUUAGUCCUCAAGGAUAUUUGGGUUGUCCUUGCAAAACUGAGUAUAUAACCUUCAUUCUUCUUUCAUUUCAAAGUGAAAUGGCCUGUACAAAGUCAUAGAGUCAUAUGGAAAUAAUAGUUGGAAGAACAUGCAGGUAUCUACCCAGGUAAUUGUUCAAACACUGAAUUCCUUUCCAUCCACCCUUUUAUUGUAGAUGAAGCUUUACCCAGAUAAAGCUGUUUACUACGCUUGUAACAGGCCUUGAUUCAACAAAUCUUUUCUUGUUCUUGCCAUAACUCAAAGACAGUUCAUGGACAUGGAGUUAAAUGUUUUCCUGAAUGCAGUCAUUUCAUCUGUUGCUUAAACAUGCUACCUUUCAUUUUCUCUAUGUAGAGACCACCCAGGUCUGGUAGUUUCAGCUGUGCUUUACUUGGAGGUUUAAUUUUUAACUCUAAAAGUAACUGGAAAACCAUAGGCACAGCUAAAUACUGUUUCAAAUCCUUGCAAAACAAAAGCUAGGCUGUUACUUAACUGCUAGUGUUAGCAAGUAGUGUAGUAGAUAAUGAACACCUAAUUGCAUCCUUGCUGGAAUUUAUUCUAUACCCUUAUUCUUCUUAAAGCCUAAAUUUAUGUUACACAAACACAAAAGCUCUCUGUGUACGAAUAAGGUGUUCACUAAAGUAGCUACUUACUUUUUUUUUUAUUUUAUAUGAGUAGGUUUUAACUCCAUGGGGUUUUUUUUUUCGAUUUAUUUUUCCUUUAAGGGUAAGGAGCAACAAGGUUUCCAUGUGCUGCUCUCUUUGAUGUUUGGAAAUGUGUGUGUGUGCACACACAUGCGCAUGUGUACACAUGUAUGUAUAAAAGCAGUUAACAUUGCUAAUUGGCAGCAAUAGAAUUAUGUGCCAUCAUAGCUUAUUUGGCUGGAUUUUACUAGAUGCUUUUAAGCCUGUGUUUUUGAUGGCUAAAUAGUUUUGUCAAUUUUUCUAAGGAGUUGCAAGUUAAUAUUUCUGCCACCUGAAUUGUAGCAUUUUUAAAUUGAAGUACUUAGGAGCACAGUUCCCUAAAGAUAAUAUGUAAUUCAUGAGGAAAAGCACUAAUAAUUAUCAUUAUUUGUGAGGCUGUUGCUCUCGGUUUUCCUGCCUUAGGUUGGCUUUUGUGUUUGGGUACUUUAGACUUGCUAGUGGAAAAACAUUAUUUUGUGUCAGAAUUAAAGUUCUUAUAGUUAACUUUUCUUUGUAUGCUUGUCUUCAGCACAAGAGUAGAGUGGUAUAGGUAGUAGCCCUUACCUGUUUGAAUCUUAACCUGAUUCACACACCUCUGAUGAGGGUUCCUUCUUCAGUAACUACCUCUGAAAAAUAACUCUUUGAUUUUACCAUGUAGCUCUAAAGAUGUAGUCACCAGGACAAGAAAGUGAAUUAAUUGGAAAUAGAGAGAAGCCUGUUAAAUAGAAAGUCUAAAUUCUGUAAAGUAACAUGGUGGAAAGGCAUUUAUAGUCCCAGAUACAUAUUUUUGUCUCAUACCAGGUACUUAAUAGAUUCCAGUACAGUCCUGCUUCUCUUACUAUGUAAUCAGUUGUUUUCAGGAGACUGCCGGUUUACCCUAGUCAUACUUCUAAAAGUUGUUUUCCUCAACUCACAGGGAGAUAAGAGGAAGGAAAAAAUCGCCAUCAAGUUUGUUAGUGCAACAGAAGAUUUUUCUGUUUCUGACCUUUUGCCUGUGCUAGCUACCAAAACUAAGUUUUAAUUAGUCAUUAACUUCCUAAUAGCAGGUCCUACUUUGUGUUCAGAUCUCCUGGAGGUUUUACGGAUUGGUAAGGCCAAGUAGGCCACCAGACCUUUGUCACCUGGCCCAAAGCAAAAUAUUUCUGCCUGAUAUCAAGGCAAAAGAUUGUUUAACCCACUGCAUGCUGGAAGUACAGCUCAACUGCUGCUGUUAGAUGGGGCAACUCAGCCCUCAAAGAGUUGUGGCUUUAGGGAAGCCUGAGCCUGCACUUUUCCAGCAGCUGAGACUACUGAUGAAUUUACCCUCUGUCACUCACUCAUUGAUGUGAAGGCUCCUGACCUGUUCAGCCCCCUGAAAUGGUGUUGUAACUCCUGCGUAUGACUCUGCUUAACGGAAGCUAACAAAGACAUAUGGUCUGAGCUAUUGUUGCUUGCUUUUAGUAAAAGUGGUCAGACCCCAAGAGCAGAAGUACCCAAGUCCAUUAUCCUGCCUCUAGCAGUGGUGCAUACAGGAUACUUACAGACUUCAUGUCUGCCUUACACUUCUGGCACAUCCACUGAGCUUGAGCUUUUGGCAGCCAGCAUUUGAUAGGUUCUAGGACUGGAAAUGGUAUUGUCACUGUUGUUCUUAGUAACUGUGGAUGGAGCAUUCUUCUUUUUGCUUGUGUUCCUUUGAAUUCUGACAUCCUUGUGAUUUGUGCCAACGAGUUCCACAGUCCAAUUUUGCAUUAUGCCAAUAUAUAUACUUUCAUUAAAUUUUAAUCUGCUGUGUCAUAGCCAUGUUAAUGACCUGUAAUUUCUUAGAAGAAAUAAUGAAUGACCAUUUGUGUAGAUUUUCUCGUCAUUCACAGUCAUGUAGGUCUCUCUAGUGUUACCCCUGGGUUGUCUGUUCCAGUCUGAAGACUCAAAAUUUGUUUAGUCCUUCAUGUACCGAAACCAUUCCAUACCAGUGAUUGUCUGUGUCUCCCUGCAUUGUUAUCUUUCCUAGUUCUGCUUUCGUUUGAGGUGGGGUGGUCAGAAUGGAUGGCCAGAUUUAAAAUGAGGAUACAUCAUUUAUACAGCACUGUAACAAUGUUUUCUGUUUUCUCUGUUCCCUCAUAAUUACGCCUGUCUUUCUCUUUGUCUUUUUGACUGCUACUGAGCCAACUGCCCACAGAGAAUUACCCACAGUGACUGCAAGGUCUCUGUCCUGAGUGGAACAGAGAUAAUUUAGAGCCUAUUGUUGUGUAUGUAUCAGGGUUGUGUUUCCCUGCGAGCACCACUUUACAUUAUAUCAACAUGAAUAUAAUUUCCCUUUUAUUGUGCACUCAGAGUUUGUAAUAUCCUUCUGCGGUUCUUUGCAGCUGAUUUUACUUUGACUAUCCUCUGUUUUUCUUACUUGUCAACAAACUUUGUCACAUCACUAUUCA